AACCCUGGCCCUGUCUGAGGUUGAAAAAAAGCUCCCUUGAUGUCUUGAAUAUGCUUACAGGAUACUUUAGUGAAAUCCAAAUAUUUCAGCUUCUUGUAUGUGCCAGGCCCUUCAGUGCUGAAAAUAAAAUGGUGUGCAAAAUCUGACCUGGAUUCCAGAUCUCAUGGAGCUUAGAAUACACUGAAGGAGACAGUUAUUAAUCAAAUGAUCACUUAAUUACAUGUAUGUUUGUAGCAGAGAAGGCCAGGAGAGGAAAAAACGGAGAUUUGACCUAGUCAGAGAGGUAAGAAACAGCUUUCUU